rnacentral:rRNA from 1 species
GAGUUUGAUCAUGGCUCAGGACGAACGCUGGCGGCGUGCCUAACACAUGCAAGUCGAACGGAGAACUCGAAAAGCUUGCUUUGAGAGUUCUUAGUGGCGGACGGGUGAGUAACGCGUGGGCAACCUCCCCUUAAACCGGGACAACCCUUGGAAACGAGGGCUAAAUACCGGAUACGCUUUUCUGAGGACAUCCUCGGGAAAGGAAAGGCGGCCUCUGAAGAUGCUGCCGAUAAGGGAUGGACCCGCGUCUGAUUAGCUGGUUGGUGGGGUAAAGGCCUACCAAGGCGACGAUCAGUAGCCGGCCUGAGAGGGUGAACGGCCACACUGGGACUGAGACACGGCCCAGACUCCUACGGGAGGCAGCAGUGGGGAAUCUUCCGC